AAAAAUAGAAUUAAUUGGGUUAACUCGUCAAAUCAAAUUAACCCGUUAAACCUUAGAUCUUUGUCAUGAAGGUCUGAUAACUAAAUAAAAAAAUUUAACAUUAACAAAAUAAAAAA